AUACGUAGGGAGCGAGCGUUGUCCGGAAUUACUGGGCGUAAAGAGCUCGUAGGUGGUUUGUCGCGUCGUCUGUGAAAUUCCGGGGCUUAACUCCGGGCGUGCAGGCGAUACGGGCAUAACUUGAGUACGGUAGGGGGGACUGGAAUUCCUGGUGUAGCGGUGAAAUGCGCAGAUAUCAGGCGGAACACCGGUGGCGAAGGCGGGUCUCUGGGCAGUAACUGACGCUGAGGAGCGAAAGCAUGGGUAGCGAACAGGAUUAGAUACCCUGGUAGUCCAUGCCGUAAACGGUGGGCGCUAGGUGUAGGGGUCUUCCACGACUUCUGUGCCGUAGCUAACGCAUUAAGCGCCCCGCCUGGGGAGUACGGCCGCAAGGCUAAAACUCAAAGGAAUUGACGGGG
rnacentral:rRNA from 1 species